rnacentral:rRNA from 1 species
UACGUAGGGGGCAAGCGUUAUCCGGAUUUACUGGGUGUAAAGGGAGCGUAGGCGGGGAUGCAAGUUGGGUGUCAAAACUACCGGCUCAACUGGUAGUCGCACUCAAAACUGCAGCUCUUGAGUGAAGUAGAGGCAGGCGGAAUUCCUGGUGUAGCGGUGAAAUGCUUAGAUAUCAGGAGGAACAUCGGUGGCGUAAGCGCUUUACUGGGCCGUAAUUGACGCUGAGGAACGAAAGCCAGGGUAGCAAAUGGG